rnacentral:piRNA from 1 species
UAGGAAGUAAGUGGGGCACGGAAUCUGUC